UCCGGUUUGACACCGGCAGUCUUCCAUGAGUCCCCAGCCGAACUGCUGGCAACAUGGAAUAGGGGUUGCGCUCGUUACGGGACUUAACCCAACAUCUCACGACACGAGCUGACGACGGCCAUGCAGCACCUGUCUUACAGUUCCCGAAGGCACCAAUCCAUCUCUGGAAAGUUCUGUAGAUGUCAAGGCCAGGUAAGGUUCUUCGCGUUGCGUCGAAUUAAACCACAUGCUCCACCGCUUGUGCGGGCCCCCGUCAAUUCCUUUGAGUUUCAUUCUUGCGAACGUACUCCCCAGGUGGUAUGCUUACCGCGUUAACUGCGUCACCGAUCCGCAAGCGGACCAACAACUAGCAUACAUCGUUUACGGCGUGGACUAC
rnacentral:misc_RNA from 1 species